UACGAAGGGGGCUAGCGUCGCUCGGAAUGACUGGGCGUAAAGGGCGCGUAGGCGGUCUUGCAAGUCCUGUGUGAAAUCCCUCGGCUCAACUGAGGAACUGCACAGGAAACUGCUUGGCUUGAGUUCGGGAGAGGGAAGCGGAAUUCCGGGUGUAGCGGUGAAAUGCGUAGAUAUCCGGAGGAACACCGAUGGCGAAGGCAGGUCUCUGGGCUGACACUGACGCUCAUGCACGAAAGCGUGGGGAGCAAACAGG
rnacentral:rRNA from 1 species